rnacentral:rRNA from 2 species
GGAAGUAAAAGUCGUAACAAGGUUUCCGUAGGUGAACCUGCGGAAGGAUCAUUACCACACCAAAUAUAAUGUCCACGUGAAUUGUUUUUUGUUCCAGCAGCACCUAGUGUGUUGUUAGGAGAGUAAUCUCCUGUUUUUAUUAAACCCUUUUUUUUAAAUUUAAACUAAAUCUAGAUAAAUAAUCUAAUGAAAGAACAACUUUCAGCAGUGGAUGUCUAGGCUCGCACAUCGAUGAAGAACGCUGC